rnacentral:rRNA from 1 species
GUAGGGUGCAAGCGUUAAUCGGAAUUACUGGGCGUAAAGCGUGCGCAGGCGGCUUUGCAAGAUAGAGGUGAAAUCCCCGGGCUCAACCUGGGAACUGCCUUUGUGACUGCAAGGCUAGAGUACGGCAGAGGGGGAUGGAAUUCCGCGUGUAGCAGUGAAAUGCGUAGAUAUGCGGAGGAACACCGAUGGCGAAGGCAAUCCCCUGGGCCUGUACUGACGCUCAUGCACGAAAGCGUGGGGAGCAAACAGGAUUAGAUACCCUGGUAGUCCACGCCCUAAACGAUGUCAACUGGUUGUUGGACGGCUUGCUGUUCAGUAACGAAGCUAACGCGUGAAGUUGACCGCCUGGGGAGU